rnacentral:rRNA from 1 species
UCUUGCGCAAUGGGCGAAAGCCUGACGCAGCGACGCCGCGUGGGGGAUGAAGGCCUUCGGGUUGUAAACCCCUUUCAGGAGGGAAGAUGGGACGGGCAACCGUUCGGACGGUACCUUCAGAAGCAGCCACGGCUAACUCUGUGCCAGCAGCCGCGGUAAGACAGAGGUGGCAAGCGUUGUUCGGAUUUACUGGGCGUAAAGGGUGCGUAGGUGGUUAGGUAAGACCUGCGGGAAAGACCUGGGCUUAACCCAGGAAGGUCGUAGGUGACUGCCUGGCUAGAGGGCGGGAGAGGAGAGCGGAAUUCCCGGUGUAGCGGUGAAAUGCGUAGAGAUCGGGAGGAAGGCCGGUGGCGAAGGCGGCUCUCUGGAACGUUCCUGACACUGAGGCACGAAA